rnacentral:rRNA from 1 species
UAGGGAAUCUUCGGCAAUGGACGAAAGUCUGACCGAGCAACGCCGCGUGAGUGAAGAAGGUUUUCGGAUCGUAAAACUCUGUUGUUAGAGAAGAACAAGGACGUUAGUAACUGAACGUCCCCUGACGGUAUCUAACCAGAAAGCCACGGCUAACUACGUGCCAGCAGCCGCGGUAAUACGUAGGUGGCAAGCGUUGUCCGGAUUUAUUGGGCGUAAAGCGAGCGCAGGCGGUUUCUUAAGUCUGAUGUGAAAGCCCCCGGCUCAACCGGGGAGGGUCAUUGGAAACUGGGAGACGUGAGUGCAGAAGAGGAGAGUGGAAUUCCAUGUGUAGCGGUGAAAUGCGGAGAUAUAUGGAGGAACACCAGUGGCGAAGGCGGCUCUCUGGUCUGUAACUGACGCUGAGGCUAGAAAGCGUGGGGAGCAAACAGG